UUCUUGGUGGUCCAGUGGUUAGGACUCUGAGCUUCCACAGCAGAGAACCUAGGUUCCAUCCCUGGUUAGAGAA
rnacentral:tRNA from 1 species